GACCUAACUUAUUUGGUUCAAUUAGGUUGGUUUAAAUAAUUAAACCACCUUGACCCAAUCUCCAUGCGCCACCUCACUUCCAUUGCACCCAUUUGAAUUCAUGAGAAGAAACUUCUCAUGAAUUUUUUUCUCACGCCAAGCCCUCUCCACGCCCCACUUUAAUGUGCCAUAUGAAUGGAUAAGGAUGAUUGGUUGGCCAUUCA
rnacentral:lncRNA from 1 species